rnacentral:misc_RNA from 1 species
AAACUUUAGAGCGUAUUUCUCGUGAGUAGUCCCAAAAAAAUGCUUUAUAGAGUGGCACCCCUAGUACCUAUACAACACAGUAAGCAAAACCCACCUGCUGUCUGAACACACCCACCUGGGACCAGCCCCCCUUUUUCUUCUUCUUUCUUCUUUGGAUUCAUCAUAUAAAAAAAACCCAUUUUCUUAAUUUUGAGAAAUCUUGAAAAAAAUCGAUUCUUUUUGGGGAGAAAAUGAUGUGGGAAGGUGGAGGGUUGCCGGUGGAGGGUGGUGGUGGUGUUGGUGAAG